rnacentral:tRNA from 1 species
GGAACUUUAGUAUAAUGGUGAAUGCGUAUGACUUUUUAAUCAUUAAAAUGUAGGUUCGAUUCCUACAAGUUCUA